UACUCUGCCUAGCCCGAAAGGAUCGCAGGUGGCCCCCUCGGCGUAUCCCUCUCAUCAGGCUAAUGAACAAAAGGCAUCCUCUGCUGCGGCAAAAGCUAAAGGUAUCAGUAAUGGUCAAACGUCAAACCAGUUCCAGCAGCCGUACACAACUCAUGUGCAACCUCCCAAAGGAGACCAAAAGAUGCCUGCAAAAAGUAAGGGUCUAAUUUUUAAACAUUGAGGGAUCUACACACGCUAUGCAGAAGAAUUCCAUGAUUCGUCCAUCAACUCCUACAUACUUGCGCGUGUAGUUGUAAAUAUGUAGCGGUCAUACACUCAAAUUCACAAGGUAGAAAAAAUAUAAUACGUUUAUUAUGUUUCUAGAUUGAUGGAUUGGUAAAAUGUAUUAUGUUACUAGAUUUAUGGAUUGGUAAAAUGUGUAAUGUUAUUAGAUUGAUGGACUGGUGUAAUGUAUAUUUGUGUAUAGUCAUACCCCGAAAAUAAUGUACAGCCCCUUGUAACAAAACCUGCUGUAUUGAACCUUGAAAGAAAGUGUACGUUGCAUUCGUUCUGAUA